rnacentral:rRNA from 1 species
GCCGGAAAUGCCCGAAGCCAGUGACCCAACCUUAGGGAGGGAGCUGUCGAAGGUGGAGCCGGUAACUGGGGUGAAGUCGUAACAAGGUAUC